AAUAAUAAUAACUGAAGAACAAGAAACAACAAAGUUGGUAUUUAUCAAGAAGCUAAAAAGGAUUAUUUCCUUUUUCCGUUAUCAUGUGGGACAUAGACCCAAAGUAUUUAACUUUACAAUGGUUGAACAACUAAACACAACAUAUACAAUUAGAGAUUGUAGUUCUGAGUCUUAAACGAGAUCGGCCGAGUUAACUCAGAUCAUCUUUCCUCCAAUACGAGUCAACUCGGUCAACUCACUCCCCCUUCCACCAAUGGCGGCGACUUCUCACCAUAUGUUAAAACAAAUAUUGUUUAGUAAAAUGUACGUAAUUUUGGGUACAGAGCUCGAAUUGAUUUGAUCUUUAUAUGGUUGGAAAGAAUACAUCCAUUCUACCACCACAACUCAACUUUGUCCCCAGAAGCUUAGGUACAUAACUUUCCAGAGCAAUUCAUCAGCUUGUAAUUUCCUUUUCUCCUCGCCUCCGAUAAACCCUCUGAUAUCAUAUCCUAACAUGCUGGACGUCGGCCGGAGACCGACGAUGCUGGCACCGGAGAAAUAUUUUUGCCGUGGUCUAGUGAUUUAAUGCUGGACUUCAAUUUAUGGGCGUGAUCUGAAUGGCCGUUAAUUAUAGCGACUGUAGCGGUAACCCAAACGCUUUUAAGCCUGGGCUUAGGCACUACACAAGUUCAUCGUAAAAUGGACGUCGACGCUGUGGCAAAGGCAUUCGUGGAGCACUACUACUCCAAGUUCGAUACCCACGGGGCCGCGCACGAAAAUCUGUACCAACAAGGUUCCAUGCUAAUUAGUUCAGUUUCAUCUAAGUUCUGGACUUCGGAUGAAAUUCGAGUUUCUUAAAAUAUUUUACUUAAUGAUAUUGUGUCUCCCUUUCAUGUACUUGAUUUAGAAAAUGCUACAGGUAAAUGCUUAUAGUUGCUGAAGUCUCUGGUUUAA